rnacentral:lncRNA from 1 species
AGUAGUUGGUGAUGGACAGGGAAGCCUGGCAUGCUGCAGUCCAUGGGGUCUCCAAGAGUUGGACAUGACUUGCUGAACUGAACUGAACUUGUUUUCAUAUGCCAGGAGCCUCAGAGGAUGAAAGUGUCCCAGGCCUCUCUUGACCAUCAGCUGCUUUCCUCUUGGUGGACAGUAGGAAAAGCUGUUCCCUUCCCACAUUGCUGUUUCAACCUUAGAAAAUCUAAGGUGUAUCUCCCUGUUUUGUUAUAGCACUGACCCAUGAUGGAAGAGGCCUUCGAGGUUUAAGGAUGUACAGUUCUGGAUAGUGCCUGAUCCCUUGCAUUUCUAACAAGUUCCCAGGUGAAGUGAUGCUGGUGGUUCAAGGGCCACAUUUUGAAAACCACUGUCCCAGGGAGAUGGGCUGAGAGGGAAAUGAGCACGUGUGGACAGUGCACGUCUGCAUUCACCAGGUACUGGGGCCACCUGCCUCUGAAGAAGGCCUAAGGCACGGAGGUCAGCAGGCAGGUGCCUCCUUCCUGUCCUUCCUAGAGCCUCUAGAAUCUGUUCUCCACAUCUGAGAAUCUUUCCUGUGUUCCUCGUCAUCGCUGCUUCUGGAAAGCACAAGCAGGCGAGGGGGCCAGAUCAGCUCUGCAGGGCUGGUUUCCUCGCGUCUAAGUGUCUGAGCAUUGAGUCCACAGCCAUUGUGCUCUGCCCAUGGCAUGGUGCCUUUUCUCCAGUUGCAGUCAUGAAACAGGGGAGUUCUGAGAGUCAGAAUUUACUGACAUUGCCUGGUCAAAACUGAAC